rnacentral:lncRNA from 1 species
AAAAUGGCAUCUUUUAACGUUACCUGCCCUUCUGUCUUGGUCUUCCAUAGUAUCUCACAAUGGAGAGAAAGAUUUGGAAGUAACCAUUAAAUAAAUGUUUUAAUUUUAUAUUACUUUGAGUAACAUAGUACUAAAGAAACAAGAAUAUAAUUUUAAAUAAGAACAGAAGUAUAUUAACAUGCUAACAAUGUGAAUUCUAUGAACUCGACCUUAACAUAUAGUUUUAUUUUGUCUUUCACAGCAAGAAAGCUAAGUCCUACAUGAAAUCUUACAAACCAAGAAAAAAAAGGACUUACACAUGGUUUCUGGAGUCAGCAUGGACCAUGGACCGCCACAAGGUCUCUAGUGGCAGGCAGCACGUGCCCUGGACCUCAGCUUAAUGGAGAAGAAAGUAGGCAUAUGCAGCCAAGAAGAAAAGUUGAAACGAUGAAUAGUCUUUGCUUCGGUGCCAGAAUUAAGAUAUGUUUCCUUCUGAUUGUGUAAGAUAAAUAAGGUUGAAAGCUGGAACACCGUCAAAGUCAGUUUAUUCAAUGAAGCAAAUAAAUGUGCAAAUAAAUAAAUAAGGGUCUCAGUCCAGUGUGCUUUUUCCCUG